rnacentral:rRNA from 1 species
UACGUAGGGGGCAAGCGUUGUCCGGAAUCAUUGGGCGUAAAGAGCGUGUAGGCGGCCCGGUAAGUCCGCUGUGAAAGUCGAGGGCUCAACCCUCGAAUGCCGGCGGAUACUGUCGGACUAGAGUCCGGAAGAGGCAAGUGGAAUUCCCGGUGUAGCGGUGAAAUGCGCAGAUAUCGGGAGGAACACCAAUGGCGAAGGCAGCUUGCUGGGACGGUACUGACGCUGAGGCGCGAAAGCGUGGGGAGCAAACAGG